rnacentral:tRNA from 1 species
GAGAAAGAACAGAAAUUAAUAAGUACUGCUAAUCCUUAUGCACCACGGUUAAAAUCCGCGGCUUUCUCG